AGGAGCUUGCUCUUCUGGAUGAGUUGCGAACGGGUGAGUAACGCGUAGGUAACCUGCCUGGUAGCGGGGGAUAACUAUUGGAAACGAUAGCUAAUACCGCAUGACAACAGUUAUUGCAUGAUAACUGUUUAAAAGGGGCAAUUGCUCCACUACCAGAUGGACCUGCGUUGUAUUAGCUAGUUGGUGAGGUAACGGCUCACCAAGGCGACGAUACAUAGCCGACCUGAGAGGGUGAUCGGCCACACUGGGACUGAGACACGGCCCAGACUCCUACGGGAGGCAGCAGUAGGGAAUCUUCGGCAAUGGACGGAAGUCUGACCGAGCAACGCCGCGUGAGUGAAGAAGGUUUUCGGAUCGUAAAGCUCUGUUGUAAGAGAAGAACGAGUGUGAGAGUGGAAAGUUCACACUGUGACGGUAUCUUACCAGAAAGGGACGGCUAACUACGUGCCAGCAGCCGCGGUAAUACGUAGGUCCCGAGCGUUAUCCGGAUUUAUUGGGCGUAAAGCGAGCGCAGGCGGU
rnacentral:rRNA from 1 species